AGUAUUUUAAUUAGUAUUAUUAUUAAUGCAAUUAUUAUAGUAUAAUAAAAUAAAAAUAAAAAUCAAGAUAAGGAUAAGGAUGAAAUCAAGUUCUAGAGAAUUCAAAGGAUAAGGAUGAGAAUAAAAAAUUAUUUCAGGAAGGACUAAACUGCAAACUGAUUUAACUCUGAAGGACCAAAGUUAAUAACCGACCUAUUCUAUAGGGACCUAACUGUGACAUCAGAAAUAGUUUUAAUUCAAAUUCAGGUCCCUGGUUUUGUCUAUAAAUACCACCACGAAGUUCAAGUUCAAACCAGCUCAAAUUAGAGCAACCCAAGCCUCCAAAUCCUUGCUAAACCUUCCCCUCAGCCUCCUAAAGCCUUCCCUAACAUCUUCUCCGCCCAACAACCACCACAAAACACCCAACCGAGCUCAAGAAAUUCCGAAACUUUAAGCUCUCGGUUCUCCCUCAAAUCUCCAUCAAUUUUGUCGAAACAAGAGUCUAUUUUGCUUAUAAUUUCACCAGGAAGCUAUUCGUGCAAGAAUUUUGAAGUUUGGAGGUCUAGAUUUCAUUCUGCCAUUGUUGACCGGAAAAGCUUCACGGUGUUCAUCGUUUUGGCCAAACCAGAGACCUUUUCAGCUACCCACCUAUACCAUUGAGUUCCUGGGAGUGAGAGGAAGCUUUUCCAAUCGGUUUCCACCCUUAACUCCACCCUCCCGCCGGAGCUCCGCCGCCAACCACCACCUUCUCCGGCGAGCUCACCGGAAAACUGCUCAGAACUUGGAUUUUCUUGCAUAGUUCAAAUCCUUGUCUUCCAUAGGUUCCAUAUACAUAUUCGGUUCGGAAAAUUAACUUGGUUUGAUAGGGUUUCAAGAGACGAGAAGAUAAUCGAUCGAAGGAUUUUUCGAAGAAAGGGACGGAGUUCGAGGAGAAAGAUCUCGAGUGAAAAGUGGUCAAGGCAGGGCGAGCUGUAAAUAGUUGUAAAUAUACGGGAGUGUUCGAGUAGAAUAAAGACCAGCUGAUGGAGGAAAACGUGUACGACUGGACUCGCGCUCUAUCAGACUGUAAAAUAAGUGUGAAAGCUGUGGUUUUGGUUGUAAACAUGGCAGUCAAAGUAGUCGGGGAAGAUUCAGAGGAGUUCAUGCGAGACUUUGGGACGUCUUGUCUAAGGAAAGGAAUUGCUUUUAAUGACGCUUAGCGCGGCUAACUUUCCUGGAGACGUUCUCAGACUAUCAAUUGGACAUCGAUGAAUUCUGACCCAAAGGUCUUGUACUUCUUCAAAGUUCAUCAAUAAAAAUUGUUUUUCUCUGAA